rnacentral:sRNA from 1 species
AGCAGCAGGGGGAGAUCCGGCAAAUGCUACAAAUGAGCCGAUUAUUGCAGGAUGUCAGGAAGAUGCCUCAGUAAAAACAAAGCAAAUAGAAAUCCAGACCGCCACCACUUUCUUCUGUCAAGAGAAAGAACUGAACUAAAGCUUUAUCCUUUUGCUAUCAAUUCUGUUAUCAGCCAGAGGGUCUGACAAGGUCAUUGUAUGCAGUAUGUUUGCUCAGAUGGUUUUUUGGGACUUUCGUUUGGAAGCUGUAUUGCAAUUUGCUGGCCUUGGUGGAUGUUGUUUCGGCGAUUGCUCUGCGACAGGAUCCUUUAUGCUCAUUGAUUUCUUUUAUAUACAUCAAUAAAAAUAUAGAAUGUUAGAGUAGAUGACGCAUUCCAACAAUGAAACGGAGGUACCCAACAAAUAUGACUUUAAACGCAGGAUCUCAGAGCAUCUAUGUAUAUAAUACAGCCUCCUAGUGAUCUCACAGAAAAUAUCAGAAGAGACAUUGGUGGAUAAACAGGCCCGCAUUCAAAAAGAAGAAAAAAGGUUGGCCAGAAACAACAGAAUUGAAAAGCACUCCCCACAACCGGGAAAACAGCAUAAUGAUCCAGUAUACAAUGGGAAAAAUGUGAUCCCCGCAGCCAUAGCAUAUAUAAGAGACAUCAUCACCGUCCACAAUUCCAUCUGCCAUCCUGUAGCAGCUCACAUCUCAACACAUCCCUUACCAGAUCACACACACCACCUUGAUUCCCUCCCUCAAUCACCACAAUACCCGGGGGAGAAAAAAAAAAGAGGAUAAAAAAAUAAGAUCAGCUAAUAAAGCACAAACACCCAAUUCCAAUAUAAAAUACAAAUAGUGGAUAAACCGCGAUUAACACCCGAUUCUUCACCACACCGGACCCACCAAGGAUGCUCACCCCCGCAGCCAGUGACCAGGCGAUUAGAACAAGGUAGACGGGGAUCCGUGCUACGAUGGGGAGACCUAAGGCGCUGAGAAGAGCAGCGAUCACGAGCGGAAAAAGAGUGUAGCCGAUUAUACAG